rnacentral:rRNA from 1 species
GACAGAGGGGGCAAGCGUUGCUCGGAAUUACUGGGCGUAAAGCGCACGUAGGCGGCGAUCUAAGUCAGAGGUGAAAGCCCGGGGCUCAACCCCGGAAUAGCCUUUGAGACUGGAUUGCUAGAAUCUUGGAGAGGCGGGUGGAAUUCCGAGUGUAGAGGUGAAAUUCGUAGAUAUUCGGAAGAACACCAGUGGCGAAGGCGGCCCGCUGGACAAGUAUUGACGCUGAGGUGCGAAAGCGUGGGGAGCAAACAGG